rnacentral:ncRNA from 1 species
UUAAUUUGAUUCUGGUUAUGAUAAUUGGUUAUUAAGAUAAUAUUUACAUGUAAAUUUUAGUGUGAUUUGUUUAAUUUAAAGGUCUAAAGGAUUAUAUAUUAAUUAAAAUUGUUUAUUCGCAGUUAUUAUUUUUAUUUAUCUAAUUAUUUAGGAUUUAUUUAUUUUAUUUAUAACUAGUUAAAAUUGUGCCAGCAACUGCGGUUACACAAUUAGUUAGAAUCAAUUUUUUUGAGUGUUAAGAUAUUAAAGAUUAAAAAUUUAUUAUUUGCAAGGUUUAAUUAUAAUUUUAGGUGAAAUUUAAUUAUAGUUGUUGAUUUGUUUAGUUAUAUUUAAUUAUAUGAUACUCUUAUUUUAAACUAGGAUUAGAUACCCUAUUAUUGGGAGUGUAAAUUUUUAUUGCUUAUAUUAUUGUUAGUUUAAGAUCUUUAAAUUAAAAGGAUUUGACGGUAAUUAUAUCAUUUCAGAGGAACCUGUCCUGUAAUUGAUAAUCCACGUUAAAUUUUACCUUAAUUAGAUUGGUUUGUAUAUCUCUGUCUAUUGAAUGUUUUAUGAGAAUUUAUUUUCGACUGUAUUUUAUUUAAUUUUAUGUCAGGUCAAGGUGCAGCUAUAUUAAGGGUAGAGAUGGGUUACAUUGAUUAUUUAAAUUAUGGAUUAAUUUAUUUUUAUAGUAUUAUGAAAUUGGAUUUGAUUGUAAUAUAUAUUAUAUUUUGUAUAUGAUAUUUGCUCUGUAUUAAGUACACAUCGCCCGUCGCUCUCAUUGCCAGUUAAAGAUGAGAUAAGUCGUAACAAAGUAGGCCUAUCGGAAGGUGGGCCUGGAAUUAUUU